UGUUGUCUGUCCGAGAACGGCUGCUUCCUUCUAUAAUCUGCAGGGUGGAGAAUACUUCUUCCCAACCGCCUCACCCCAUUCUGCCUCCUCAGUAAACAUCUGCUGUAGGGGCCUAUUGCCCCUGUUGGGGGCAAAAACUUCUUGAAGAUUGAGGAGAAGCUGGACAGAUUCCCAUGACGUAAGAAGUUGUGCUUCUCUUGAGUGAUUGCUUAUUACAAUUAUUGGGACAUUACGUAUCUGCUGAAAUAAACUUUGCUUGGACUAUUGGCCUGCUCUUGAUAAAAGGUGGCACAGUCAGCAGGAUACCUCAACUUGCUGGACACUGCUCACCCCACACACUGCUGCAGCUGAGAGAUCCUUGAGAAAUCUUACAAGCAGCUGGCAAAAGGCAGAGAUUUCAGGGGGUUGACAUGGAAACUAUUGGAAAUAGUGGUUAUAUUACCAAGGCUUUGAAUGGAAUAUUUGGGAGAAAGAUGCAUAGACUCACGUAUGACCAGACAGCUUUAAAGAACUGAGGUGGACUUUAUGGAGCUAAUAAAGCCCUUGUAAAUAGCAGCGUGAUACUAGCUUAUGGAUUUCCCAGCAGUCUUACCAGGAAGGAAUCGGAAUCCUUGAGAGUUGGAUAAAACUGGCACAAAGAAAUGGAAAAAAAAAUCCUGAAUGAAAUCUUUGGAAGUAAAACUAUAAAUUGAUUCCAAGUAAAGACUUUCUUAGGUCUGAAAAAUCUCAGACAAAUUUAGAAGUAUUUUUAUCUAUAGUGUCUUUACAUUCUUGCUGAGUAAAACAAACAAAAAACCCAAACCCAAAUAAAACAACAAAAAAAUUGCUAUUCAAUGAUACGUUCUUGAAUGCAUAAAAUGGUGUAUAGGCUUCUCAGUCGAGACUGGCUCUGUGUUUGGCCAGCAAAUGAACAGCAUGGCAAAAGUGGAUAGUACAGUAGCGUAGCUGGUAGCAUUUUUCUUGGUUAAUCAAUAUGAUGGAAAGGUGGACAUAGAUGGAUUUAUCUUCCAAGUUUUUCCAGCCAAACUGGUUUUCAUAGAAAGGGCUCUAUUUUAAUCCUUGUCACAGUAUAACCACUAUAUAUUGGAUAUAACCUAAACAGUUUUAUUUAUAACUCCUAUUGUUUCUUUAAACUUUUAGUUGAGCAAAGAUUUUUUUCUAUCAGAUUAAAACUUAGAAGAUCCCAAAAUGUUUAUGUUCACUGUACAGUGAUACAGUUACUUUGAGAUAAGACAGCCUCAGUGCGAAAUUUAAAAAUAAUCCAUUCUAACUGGUGAGAUACCACCUUACACCAGUUAGAAUGGCAAAAAUGGACAGGGAAAGAAACAACAAAUGUUGGAGAGGUUGUGGAGAAAGGGGAAGCCUCUUACACUGUUGGUGGGAGUGCAAGUUGGUACAGCCACUUUGGAAUACAGUGUGGAGGUGCCUCAAAAAAUUAAAAAUAGAGCUACCCUAUGACCCAGCAAUUGCAUUACUGGGUAUUUACCCCAAAGACACAGAUGUAGUGAAAAGAAGGGCCAUAUGCACCCCAAUGUUCACAGCAGCAAUGUCCGCAAUAGCCAAACUGUGGAAAGAGCCCAGAUGCCCUUCAACAGAUGAAUGGAUAAAGAAGAUGUGGUCCAUAUAUACAAUGGAAUAUUACUCAGCCAUCAGAAAAGAUGAAUACCCAACUUUUACAUCAACAUGGAUGGGACUGGAGGAGAUUAUGCUAAGUGAAAUAAGUCAAGCAGAGAAAGUCAAUUAUCAUAUGGUUUCACUUAUUUGUGGAACAUAAGGAAUAACAUGGAGGACAUUAGGAGAAGGA